UACGAAGGACCCGAGCGUUAUCCGGAUUUAUUGGGCUUAAAGGGUGCGUAGGCGGUUUUACAAGUCAGUGGUGAAAUCUCCCAGCUUAACUGGGAAACUGCCAUUGAAACUGUUUAUCUUGAGUACAUUUGAGGCGGGCGGAAUGUGUCAUGUAGAGGUGAAAUUCUUAGAUAUGACACAGAACACCAAUGGCGAAGGCAGCUCGCUGGACUGUAACUGACGCUGAGGCACGAAAGCGUGGGGAUCAAACAGG
rnacentral:rRNA from 1 species